rnacentral:other from 1 species
CUUAACCCGACAGCGAGUAAUUUGUGAACCAAUACUCACAUUCAGGGGAGCGUUCUGUAGCCGGCGUUGUGCAAGCCCACCGACGAGUGGGAAGCCUGAACCGAUACCCUGCCCCCACCUGAACCCCAGGGUUCAAAAUCGAGACUGUCGGGCUUCCU